UACGUAGGGAGCGAGCGUUGUCCGGAAUCAUUGGGCGUAAAGAGCAUGUAGGUGGAUCAAUUAGUCUGCUGUGAAAGUCAAAGGCUCAACCUUUGAAAGCCGGUGGAUACUGUUGAUCUAGAGUACGGAAGAGGCGAGUGGAAUUCCUGGUGUAGCGGUGGAAUGCGCAGAUAUCAGGAGGAACACCAAUAGCGAAGGCAGCUCGCUGGGACGUUACUGACACUGAGAUGCGAAAGCGUGGGAGCAAACAGG
rnacentral:rRNA from 1 species